rnacentral:rRNA from 1 species
UGGCGGCGUGCUUAAGACAUGCAAUUCCAACGGAAAGGCUCUCUUCGGAGAGUACUCGAGUGGCGCACGGGUGAGUAACGCGUGGGUAAUCUGCCCUUUCGUCGGGGACAACUCCGGGAAACUGGAGCUAAUACCGGAUGAGACCACGGAGUCUUCGGACUCUGCGGAAAAAGGUGGCCUCUCCUUGGAAGCUAUCGCGAGAGGAUGAGCCCGCGUCCCAUUAGCUUGUUGGUGAGGUAACGGCUCACCAAGGCUCCGAUGGGUAGCUGGUCUGAGAGGAUGAUCAGCCACACUGGAACUGAGACACGGUCCAGACUCCUACGGGAGGCAGCAGUCG